CCGUGAUGGACUAACCGUCUGUCGCUGGGAAGAAGCUUAACUUGGGGGAAACUGCCACGAAAAUAAAACUUUAAUCUAAGUUUGCCUUUCUUUGAUUUUGUUAUUUUAGAAAUUUAAAUUAUUAAUUUAAUUUUUUCCUAGUCCCUUAUCCUAAAGAUGAGGAGACAUAGGUAGGUAGUUUUUAUUUAUAUAUUUUUAUUUUAGUAUAAAAAAUAAUAAUUUUUGCAUUAAAAAAACACUUAUAUUAAGCUAUUUAGUAUCUGUUAACCCAUUUAAGUAACAUCUCAAAAGUCAUAGCAAGGUAGCUUGUACUGGG
rnacentral:rRNA from 1 species